rnacentral:rRNA from 1 species
UACGGAGGGUGCGAGCGUUAAUCGGAAUUACUGGGCGUAAAGCGUGCGUAGGCGGUACGUUAAGUCAGAUGUGAAAGCCCCGGGCUUAACCUGGGAACUGCAUUUGAAACUGGCGUACUCGAGUUGAGUAGAGGGGAGUGGAAUUUCAGGUGUAGCGGUGAAAUGCGUAGAUAUCUGAAGGAACACCAGUGGCGAAGGCGACUCCCUGGACUCAAACUGACGCUGAGGUACGAAAGCGUGGGUAGCAAACAGG